rnacentral:rRNA from 1 species
GAGAGAGACAUGCGCGCAUAUCAAUAAGCGGAGGAAAAGAAACUAACAAGGAUUCCCUUAGUAACGGCGAGUGAAGCGGGAAGAGCUCAAAUUUGAAAUCUUCAAGGUUUUACCUUGACGAAUUGUAGUUUAAAGAAGUGUUUUCUGCUGAAGUUUUGGUAAAAGUUCUUUGGAAUAGGACAGUCAUAGAGGGUGAGAAUCCCGUAUUUGACCAUUAUUUUCAGCUUUGUGAUACACUUUCAAAGAGUCGGAUUGUUUGGGAAUGCAGUCCAAAAUGGGUGGUAAAUUUCAUCUAAAGCUAAAUAUUGGCGAGAGACCGAUAGCGAACAAGUACCGUGAGGGAAAGAUGAAAAGAACUUUGAAAAGAGAGUUAAACAGUACGUGAAAUUGUCAAAAGGGAAGCGUUUGACACCAGUGUUGUUUUCUCGAAAAUCAAUUAAAAAUGGCUCGAUUUUGUAUUGUUGAGACCUUAAAAGCUCACUGUACAUUUUUCGUGUCUUUUUUAAUGCACUUUUCGUUUAACAAGUCAACAUCAGUUUCUUUUGUUGUAAAAGGGUCAUUGGAAGGUGGCUUUCCUUUCGGAGAAAGUGUUUAUAGCCCUUGGCCUCUGCAAUCGAAGAGACUGAGGUCUGCAGCGUAGACUCUUCGGGGUUAGAUACAUUUGUGCUAAGUAUAGCUUUUUAUAGACAACUUGUUGACUAUAAUUAGUCUUGUAGCUUACUCGCUUAUGCUAUUUUACCUACGCUUAGGAUGUUGAAGUCAUCGUAUCGCGC